CAGAGUUUCGAGCGCCGCUUCCUAGCGGCGCGCACACUGCGCUCCUUCCCCUGGCAGGUGGGCGGCGGGGCGAGCGGAGAGGCCUGCGGGGCUUGCGGAAGUCCAGGGGCAGACGGGAUGGGUCUCCCUGCUGAAACCCCCGGCGCUCCUGCCACCACGAGGCUGUCCACACGGAGCUUUUGGACGAGCUGUACGAGGCGCUGGCAGAGACCCUGAUGGCCAAGGAGUCCACCCAGGGCCACUGGAGCUAUUUGCUGCCCUCGGAAGGCUCGGUCACACUCUCCGAGCACAGCCAUCAUCUCCCACGGUACCACAGGCCUGGUCACAUGGGACGCUGCCCGCUACCUUGCAGAAUGGGCCAUCAAGAACCUGGCAGCCUUCACUAACAGACGUGCUGUAUUGCCCAGAAGCCAUCGUGUCCCUGGUCGGGGUCCUGCGGAGGCUGGCUGCCUGCUGGGAGCACCAGCGGGCUCCUGAGGUCUACAUGGCCUUUACCGUCCGCAACCCAGAGACGUGCCAGGUGUUCACCACCGAGCUAGGCUGGGCUGGGAUCAGAUGGGAAGCGGAAGCUCAUCAUGACCAGAAACUGUUUCCCUAUGGAGAGCACUUGGAGAUGGCAAUGCUGAACCUCACACUGUAGGACUCAUACACGACUCCAACGGGAUUGUUAGAAUCAAAUCACUCUCGUGGGAAGAAUUUUUAUAUGGGAAAGCGGAUAAAACUUUCAUUGGACUGGAAUGUUUGGAGAAUGUUAAAUUCCAAAUCAGGAACCACAAUCUGCCCUCUAAUAAGACAUCGGCUAUCUAAGCAUGUGGGUGCCCCCUUUCUGCCAGCAGUUCUGGUUCUUAAGAAAAUCACCAUAAAUCAGACAUGAAAAUUCUGGCUCCAAAAAUAGCAUUUUCUUUGUGCAAAUAAAAACGUGUGUAUCAA
ensembl:lncRNA novel transcript